AUUUAAAUAGUUUAACAAAAAUUUUGAUUUGUGGUGUCAAAGAUAUAAAAAAAAUUUUAUUUUAAAUC
rnacentral:tRNA from 1 species